rnacentral:rRNA from 1 species
UGAAUAAGGGGCUGCUAACCUCGUGCCAGCAGCAGCGGUAAUACGAGGGCCCCAAGCAUUAUCCGGAUUUAUUGGGCGUAAAGCGUCCGCAGGUGGUUUAUCACAUCUUCUGUUAAAUCUCGAGGCUCAACCUCGAACCAGCGGGAGAGAUGGAUAGACUAGAGACUGGAAGAGGCAAACGGAAUUGCUGGUGUAGGGGUUAAAUCCAUUAAUAUCAGCAAGAACACCAAAUGCGAAGGCAGUUUGCUAGGACAGUUCUGACACUCAUUGGACGAAAGCGUGGGGAGCGAAUGGGAUUAGAUACCCCAGUAGUCCACGCCGUAAACGAUGGAUACUAAGCAUUGGCAGUAUCGACCCUGCCAGUGUUGCUAUUUUAAGUUAACACGUUAAGUAUCCCGCCUGGGGAGUACGGCCGCAAGGCUAAAACUCAAAGGAAUAGACGGGGACCCGCACAAGCGGUGGAGCAUGUGGUUUAAUUCGACGAUAAACGAGAAACCUCACCAAGGCUUGACAUCUAGCUGCAAGGCCUGGAAACAGGUCCGCCUUCGAGGGUGCUAGACAGAUGCUGCAUGGUUGUCGUCAGCUCGUGUCGUGAGAUGUACCGUUAAGUCGGGAAACGAGCGCAACCCUUUUCCUAUGUUUUACAUGUCAUAGGAGACUGCCCGUUUUAAAUGGGAGGAAGGCGGGAUGACGUCAAAUCAGCAUGGUUCUUACGCCUUGGGCAACACACGUGCUACAAUGGAAGGUACAGAGGGACGCCAAACCGUAAGGUGGAGCCAAUCCCUAAAAACCUUUCUCAGUUCGGAUUGAGGGCUGCAAUCCGCCCUCAUGAAGCUGGAAUCGCUAGUAAUCGUGGAUCAGAAUGCCACGGUGAAUACGUUCUCGGGUCUUGUACUCACCGCCCGUCACGUCAAGGGAGUUGGUAGUGCCCGAAGGCUCAUUUAUGGGACGAAGGCAAGACUGAUGACAGGGACGAAGUCGUAACAAGGCAUCCGUAGCGGAAGCUGUGGAUG